CAGUCGCCACGGUAACACGUAGGUGGCAAGCGUUGUCCGGAAUUAUUGGGCGUAAAGGGCUCGCAGGCGGUUUCUUAAGUCUGAUGUGAAAGCCCCCGGCUCAACCGGGGAGGGUCAUUGGAAACUGGGAAACUUGAGUGCAGAAGAGGAGAGUGGAAUUCCACGUGUAGCGGUGAAAUGCGUAGAGAUGUGGAGGAACACCAGUGGCGAAGGCGACUCUCUGGUCUGUAACUGACGCUGAGGAGCGAAAGCGUGGGGAGCAAACAGGAUUAGAUACCCGCGUAGUCCCUGUCUCUUAUAC
rnacentral:rRNA from 1 species